AGCUCCAAUAGCGUAUAUUAAAUUUGUUGCAAUUAAAAGGUCGUAAUUUGAAUUAUGGACGGAGCGGUUGGUGCGACUCUCUGAGUUGUUAAUUGCAUCAUAUUUGGUCAUCCUUAAGUAAAACUACCUGUUAUUAGGUUGUCAGGCAAGGGGUGAACAUUGUUUACUGUGAAAAAUUAGAGUUUCCAAAGCAGGUUUACGCCGUUGAAUAGACUAGCACGGAAUAAUUAUAUAGGACCCUUGCACUAUUUUUUUUUGGGUAAUGAUUAACAGGGACAAUUGGGGAUAUUUAUAUUUCAGUGGAAAGGGUGAAAUUCUUGGAUUUUUGAAAGACAAGCAACUGCAAAAUCAUUUAUCAAGAAUAUUUUCA
rnacentral:rRNA from 1 species